rnacentral:misc_RNA from 1 species
AAAGUCGUAACAAGGUCUCCGUUGGUGAACCAGCGGAGGGAUCAUUACAGAGUACUUAACUCAUAACCCUUUGUGAACCUUUAUAACCUGUUGCUUCGGCGGCGCGCCUCCGGGCGUGCCCGCCGGUCUCAUCAGAAUCUCUGUUCGAACCCGACGAUAUAUCUGAGUGUUCUAAGCGAACUGUUAAAACUUUCAACAACGGAUCUCUUGGCUCCA